rnacentral:misc_RNA from 1 species
GAAAUGCGAUACGUAGUGUGAAUUGCAGAAUUCCGUGAAUCAUCGAAUCUUUGAACGCAUAUUGCGCUCGAGGCCUCGGCCAAGAGCACGUCUGCCUCAGCGUCUGCACACACCCUCGAUCCAAAAUCACUUGGAUCGGACCUGGGAGUCUCCAGAGGAUAUGACCUCUGGAGUCUCCUGAAGCCAAGAGGCCCACGCGGGGGUUGUUUCCUCUCCUGCCAAGCCAGGGGGGAAACGAUGGCAAUGGCCUGGUGGGUGGCCCUGCGCCGCAAACACUUGCUGUUGCCGGCUCCUAUCGUUUUGGGAACGUUGCAGGAACGCAAUUACCCUCGGACCUGAGAUCAGGCGAGACUACCCGCUGAACUUAA